GAUGAACGCUGGCGGCGUGCUUAACACAUGCAAGUCGAACGAUGAAGCCCAGCUUGCUGGGUGGAUUAGUGGCGAACGGGUGAGUAACACGUGAGUAACCUGCCCUUAACUCUGGGAUAAGCCUGGGAAACUGGGUCUAAUACCGGAUAGGAGCGCCUACCGCAUGGUGGGUGUUGGAAAGAUUUAUCGGUUUUGGAUGGACUCGCGGCCUAUCAGCUUGUUGGUGAGGUAAUGGCUCACCAAGGCGACGACGGGUAGCCGGCCUGGGAGGGUGACCGGCCACACUGGGACUGGGACACGGCCCAGACUCCUACGGGAGGCAGCAGUGGGGAAUAUUGCACAAUGGGCGGAAGCCUGAUGCAGCGACGCCGCGUGAGGGAUGACGGCCUUCGGGUUGUAAACCUCUUUCAGUAGGGAAGAAGCGAAAGUGACGGUACCUGCAGAAGAAGCACCGGCUAACUACGUG
rnacentral:rRNA from 1 species